AUACGUAGGUGGCGAGCGUUGUCCGGAUUUACUGGGUGUAAAGGGUGCGUAGGCGGGUUAUCAAGUUGGGUGUGAAACCUCCGUGCUUAACACGGAGCCUGCAUUCAAAACUGGUAAUCUUGAGUGAGGUAGAGGUAGAUGGAAUUCCCGGUGUAGCGGUGAAAUGCGUAGAGAUCGGGAGGAACACCAGUGGCGAAGGCGGUCUACUGGGCCUUAACUGACGCUGAGGCACGAAAGCAUGGGUAGCAAACAGGAUUAGAUACCCUGGUAGUCCAUGCUGUAAACGAUGAUUGCUAGGUGUGGGUGGACUGACCCCAUCCGUGCCGGAGUCAACACAAUAAGCAAUCCACCUGGGGAGUACGGCCGCAAGGUUAAA
rnacentral:rRNA from 1 species